rnacentral:rRNA from 1 species
CCGAGUUUCCCUCAGGAUAGCGGGCCGACAAGUUGUUUUGUGCGGUAAAGCGAAUGAUUAGCGCAAUCGGGGGCGUUUAGCCUUUGGGCGAUUCUCAAACUUUCAAUGCGCAAGGGUGCCGCUGCUUAAUUGAGCGGUACCGGUAAAAACGUCGGCCCUGUGGGCCACUUUUGGUAAGCAGAACUGGCGAUACGGGAUGAACCGUAAGCAAGGUUAAGGCGCCAAACUGCCCGCUUAUAGACCCCACAAAAGGUGUUGAUUCAUCGAGACAGCAGGACGGUGGCCAUGGAAGUCGGAAUCCGCCAAGGAGUGUGUAACAACUCACCUGCCGAAUGAAUUAGCCCUGAAAAUGGAUGGCGCUGAAGCGGGCGGCCGACACCUUGCCGUCUGAACAAGAAUUUCAGAUGAGUAGGAGGRCGUGGCGGCCGUGUCGAAGCGCGCGUGCAGACGCGUGUGGAACGGCCGCUAGUGCAGAUCUUGGUGGUAGUAGCAAGUAUUCAAGCGAGAUCCUUGAAGGGCGAAGUGGGGAAGGGUUUCACGCGAACAUUGAUUGGGCGUGAGUGAGUCGUUCCUAAGCCGAGUGGCAAUUGCUAAUUAACGGCGAAAGGGAAGCGGGUUGACAUUCCCGCACACGGAUGUGGAGGCGGCGACGCAUUAUUGGGGCGAACACGCUGGCGAUGGCGCUGGGCAGAGUUGUCUUUUCUGUUUGACCGCUUGCGCACGCAGUGUGGAAUCCGCU